GAGAUAGGGCGAAGGACGGAGGGUGCUCGUUCUUUUAUUUCCUCUUUCCCCCGCUUCCCCUUUUCGAUUGGCUGAGGCACUCACCGGGCGGAAUUUCCGAUUGGCCAGCGCACGCUGUUGCUAGGCAGGUGAAGAGGCGCGGGGUGGAGCUCCCUUUUCUGAUGAGUCGGCUCUGAGGUUCAGUCAGCGUGAAGCGUCUCGAUUUGCUGUCGUAACGAAUCUGCUCCAAGACCUUCUGCUCACUUUGAGGAGCCGUCGCCGCGCGUCUACCCUCACCCCUUUUCCCCUCAGCGCCAUGGCCUCGGGAUCUGAGGCUGAUGCAAAGCUUGAAAGUCUUCUGGAAACAAGCCUGCAGCACUGAAGUUUGCUUGUCCCCCUGUUCUAAGUGUCAGGGAAAGGAGACAGCACUGCACAGCAGUCUGGCUUGGAAAAACUUGUUUCUUGAAGGUGUGUGGGGUACCUCAGGUAAUGUCACACCACAGAUAAGUCAGACCUUUCUGCUGUACUUACAAAGAUGCAGUUGUGAGAAACACGUUCAAGAUCAAAAAUUUCUAAUCAGGCCAAGAUCUCUCUGAAGAGCAGUUGAUUCAUUAUUGCAAUAAUGGGCACACACCCCCUACUGACGAGGGAGAAAUUGUGUAACUAGUCAGUGAAAUCCACUCCAUUAUAUACCCUGGGUCCAACGCAGGUAAAGCCUCUCCUGGCCCUCGUUGGUUGAGCAUCUCAGGCUCACAGUCUUCCAACACUGUUACUACGUUACACUUCCAUACAAUGUCUGUUACCAACACAUUGUCUUUGGGUAUGUUCUGUACUUUUUUAUGGCGAUCGGAGGACAAUACUUUCAACAAUCUGCACACUAGUUCUGUCCCAUACCAGACUCUCUCCUACCCUAUAUAAUUACCUUACCUAGUGCCUGUGCCAAUUUGACUUCGGUUGGAAUGCCCCAGUCUCACUCUGUUCAGCAACUUUUGUGAAAGGCAACUUAUCCUAUGCUACAUACAGAAAUACUGGAAAUUUCUACUGCAAAAAACACCAUCUACCUCUCACAAUUCCCCCUUUUUCUUUUUACCCUUUUAUGUUUUUGCACCAGACUAUGAAACACUUCUAAUAUAAGAAAACUACCUUACUAACCUGACUUGAUGAUUGAUAGUAAUUUAUCAUCUUGCUAUUCUCCAUGCUCUAAUAUAUAUAUAUUGAUUAAGAAUAACAAUUUCUUCACCCUUGUAUGAUUCAUCCCAGUAUGAACAAGUAAUAAAUCUUAAAUCAGAGCAUAAUGAGCAUUACAGGUUCUAAGCUACUAAGGGAUGUGGGGAAGAUGGGGAAGUUAGCGAUAGUAAAGAAAGAAAUUCUAGCAAACGGUUUACAGAGCAGAGAUAGUCACCACCAGGGAAUCUGGCGAUGUCUUGUCGGUCUGUGAGGAGGCAGCAGGUUGAUCAGUCUCGUUGACUUCCAUGGCUGCAUUUUGGCAGAUAGGGUACCCAUUCUUCCUCAGAACUCUUCAGUCCCGACUACCCCAAUUAUCAGGGGCAUCAUGUCCUGUCCAUCACGGUGAUGGUAGCUGUCAGGGUACCCACAUUUCUGUUCAUCAGGAGGAACAGCACAUCUGUCCUCUUACCACUGUACUCCUGGUAGUCAACCAUUAACUUCAAAAACUUGUUGGGCAGGUCAUGCUUUGGAUGGGUGCCAUCAAACAGGCUUUUGAGCCAAGCAUUCUCCAGCUUCUCAUGUCUCAGAUGACUGCCUCUGAACAAGCUUUGAGCCAAGCAUUGUUGCUGCUUCUCACACCACCCGGCGGUGCAAACCUUGUUAUCACUGUCCUGUGGUGGUUUCAAGAAAAAAAAGCAUUAAGGGGAAUGAGGGGAGAAGGAAAAGAUGCAUGUUAAAAUCACACAAAAGCAAAGGAACAAAAUGUGAGCGCUGCCAAUGCUCAUAACACAACUCACCUUACCCAUGGAUCACCAGGAGGCUAGGAAAAGUAAUCUAAUACCUAGGCCAACUUUCAGACUCCUUGGGUAAUUUGAGCCAGGCCAGUCACCUCAGCAUCUGCCAGACUUUCACAAACAAUACGAUUACAAGCAAUAAAUACAUCAAUGUUAGGGUUAAUAAGAUCACAACUGGGUGAAGCACAGAAUUAAAAACUCCUCUUGCUGUUGGUGACCAUCUAAGGAGUGUUUCCCUACAGGGGUGUUCUCCAUCCUGCUUUACCCUUUCCAGGACAUAGUGCUUCUCUUCUGUAUCAUGGUUAACAGUAAUCA
rnacentral:lncRNA from 1 species